CCUACGGGAGGCAGCAGUGAGGAAUAUUGGUCAAUGGACGAGAGUCUGAACCAGCCAAGUAGCGUGAAGGAUGACUGCCCUAUGGGUUGUAAACUUCUUUUAUAUGGGAAUAAAGUGCAGUAUGUAUACUGCUUUGCAUGUACCUUAUGAAUAAGGAUCGGCUAACUCCGUGCCAGCAGCCGCGGUAAUACGGAGGGUGCAAGCGUUGUCCGGAAUCAUUGGGCGUAAAGAGUUCGUAGGCGGUAUGUUAAGUCUGGUGUUAAAUGCAGAAGCUCAACUUCUGUUCGGCACUGGAUACUGGCAAACUAGAAUGCGGUAGAGGUAAAGGGAAUUCCUGGUGUAGCGGUGAAAUGCUUAGAUAUCAGGAGGAACAUCGGUGGCGUAAGCGCUUUACUGGGCCGUAAUUGACGCUGAGGAACGAAAGCCAGGGUAGCAAAUGGGAUUAGAUACCCGGGUAGUC
rnacentral:rRNA from 1 species